GGGCGGGUAGCGUAGUGGUCAGCGCGUCCCCUGAGCGUAUCUAAAAUCAGCGUUGUUUUCUCUAAUCUAAAUUCUCAAAGCGUUCACUGGAAGACCUGGGUUCGACUCCCAGCCCGCCCA